rnacentral:rRNA from 1 species
GUCUUCUUGAUUAUAAUUUGAAGUCUGACCUGCUCUAUGAGUUUUAAAUGGCCGCAGUAUAUUGACUGUGCUAAGGUAGCAUAAUAAUUAGUUUCUUAAUUAGAAGCUUGUAUGAAUGGUUUGAUGAAAAAACUUCUUUCUUAUUAUUAAUUUAUUGAAUUUUAUUUUUAAGUAAAAAAGCUUAAAUUUUUUUAGGGGACGAGAAGACCCUUUAGAAUUUUAUACAGAUAUAAAUUAUUUUUUUUUAGUAUUUAGUAAUUAAAUUAUUUUUGUAUUUAGUUGGGGCGACUAAAAAAUUUAUUAAACUUUUUUUAUUAAUUAACAUUAUAAAAGGUUUUAUGAUCCGUGAAGCGAUUAAAAGAAAAAAUUACCUAAGGGAUAACAGCGUUAUAAUUUUUUAGAGUUCUUAUCGAAAAAAUUGAUUGCGA